AAGCCCGGUGGCCCAUUAUCAUCAACCCUAAUUGCGUAGACGGGAGAAAUCUAGCUUCGGGUUUCGUGCUCCUCUUCGUUACACGGCGGCACCUGUUCUGCUUCUCCGAACUCUGAAACGGCUCGAGUUAUGGUUUUAUAAAUAUGUCAGUACUUCUCCUCCUCAAAUCAUAUGUUUCUCCUAUUUUAGUAUACAUAUUCACGGUGAUAUGUCUAAAUCGAUGAUGUUUUGGUUCGAUUUGAAGUCCGGCGACCAUAACGCAGGCCACCAUUAAUGCUAACCGGCGUCCAACAUUCCGACCUAGACUCACGGCCGGUUCGAUGUGUUUCGAUGUGUUCAACAGCCGGUACUAUGAUAGGGUUCGUGUUUUACAAAAAUGUUAAUAAAUCUGUAACUGUCGAAUAAAUACACAUCAGCAAUCACUAUUAUGUUGAUAAUCAGAGCCAUUGUAGCUAAACCUUUCAUUGCAGUACCCUUAGAUCUGUGAGAAAUGCUCUGAGUAAUGGUGAACAAAACAGAUAGAAGAGUUCGAGGAUCUAGGUCCAGCGAGUUGAGUAGUAACACAGAAAAAAGUUUGGGCGCUGACAGAACACACCAAACGUUCACGUUGACACGAGAGUCUCGAGCUCCGGUGAUCAUACCGACAUUGCAUCACAAUUAUCUCACGUGAGGUCCCGAUCAUUAAGAGGAAAUCAUAUGGCACAAACAUGAUUCUUAUCAUGCCCACGAGCAUGCGAGCUCAAAGAACUUGGAAAGAGAUGCACGAAAUGUUUUUACUAUAAGGAGAUUGAGAAGUUUUUGGAGUUGGUGUACCGUGGCUAGGAUCCGCCGAAGCUUUACGUUCUUAUUUUUUUCCGUUAUCACUCACGUUUCAUUACGUUCAGUUUCCUUUUAGUUUUUUUUUUUUGAAUUUUCUGCUAUCUCUCCUUAUAUAAUCUAAUGAUUUCAACUCCCGUUUUAGUCUGAAAACUUUUAUUUAAAAAUAAAAACCAUAUACGAAAAACAUGAGAGGGUUGAGAAUUGACGUCGAACGUACAUAUAUAUCUUGCGAAGCACUUAUAUAUAAAUACAAUUCAGAACCGAAUAAACCACCUCAUAUAAUAAUGGCGUGAGGCUUCUAAGAAUUCAAAAGAUUUAGGGCUGAUAUGUUGUGCCUCGAUAGUUGAAUUAAUAGUUACUGUAUUUGUGGUUUCAUGCUUCUAAAAUAUAUUAUCUUUAAAUAUUAAAAAAAUGGAAAAUGACACAGUUUGUAAAUAUCAUCUGAAGCUUCUACAUUCUGUUAUUCUAUAAUAAUUUUGAAAAUUAUAAUGCAGCCAUUAAUACGCAUUUCAGCAGCUGGAAUAUUAGCUACUGUAUAGGUUCUAACAGAACAAUGCGUUCAUCCCACCAGCCUAUAAAGCAUAACAUUACAUAUAAAAAACAAAACAACCACAAAAAAAGAGGUUAUAAUCUAUGCACGUAACCGCUACGACAACUAUAAUUCACUUACUGCAGAUAUUUAACAUUAUGAUCCCAUAAAUUUCACAUUACAUGAACACACCAUAAUAAUUAGUAGUUCUAAAAACCAAACCCUAUAAAAUUAUAAGAAUACUUACCCAAGAUUACAUACAAAUGAUUUAAUUUUAUCAAUUGAACUGAAGAAUUUUAUAGGUUUAACUUUAGAUAAUUGUUAUGCACAUUUGUCCAUCUGAAAUAACGUUGGUCACAUAUUAUUCCACUAUUAAUAGGCAUAGUAGCACAUUUAAAUUGCAACAAAACAUAAUGCAGAUAACAAAUAAAAUAUAUAUGACAAAAGUACCAAAAAAAUACAAUUGUUAAAUAUGACCCCUUCUUCUCCCUAAAUUAAAUACCCUCCCUCAAAAAAGAUAAAACCAGUAAAAUUAUUUAAAAAGAAAAAUCUCAUACAAAGUUCAAAAAAAAAAAAGAAAAAUCUCAUACACAUUUGAUCAAUACAAUCUGGCUACAAUACUGAGAAUGCCCUCAUAUUAUUUCUUCGUUUCAUUUUUUUUCCUCCGCAGUCUAUUGGGUCUGACUCUUUAUUUUGUCCGAACGUUUGGCAUUAUUGAGCCCUUACCGAUAUAGAGCGUGGUAUAGUUUAUUCGAAACGCUGUGUGUCUUUUAUUUUUCUCCCGACUUUAGGGUUUCCAUCGAUUCACUCAUCUUCUUCCUCCUGACCCUGCAAGCAAUCGGCGCCGCAGAGAAUCUAGGAUUUCCAGCGAUCUAUUCAUCUUCUUCCUACUGAUCCAGUGGUCAAUCGGUUACGGAUCCACUACUAUUAAAUUCCUUAUUAAAUCAACCGUAUACGAUCUCUCUUCAAUGCCACUUUUGCUCUUCAAAGGCGGUUGAGGUUUGACUAUAAAAGUCCGAAAGAUGUUCUUCCACAGUUGAGGUUAGGUUAUUGUGUUUCUAGGUGGCGAGGAAUAUCAGGCGCUGGGAUGAACUGAUGUAUGUCGGUAUGCUCUUGCUUGAUUCGAAUGGAUGUGUAUGUGACUUUUAGUUUGAGUGCGUGGUGUUCCAAGGGUUGUUAUUGCGACAAGCUUAAAUCCCUAAAAUAUUCGGAGGUAUUUAGUUAUUAUUUAAAUUUAAAGAAUGUCUUAUCUGUUUCUAACAAGAGCUCCGGUGUUUGUUAGUACCUUUGUCGAACUUUUUCAUGCAGGCCGUUUGUUCCUUAAUGCAACUUCAGGAACACACAUUUAUUUCGAUAAGGAGACUAAUGUUAGGAGAGGUCCUCUUCUACAAACACUGGGCUUCAGUCAGUAGCUCCGCUUCUGAAAGGAUAUGCCACGGUUGAGAAUCUGACCAUAUCCGAGCUUAAUGAGUUUGUCAUAGCUGCACUGUCUCAGGACAUCGAUUUCAUGUGUUCUGGGAAAGUGACUGAUAUUAAGAUGGACAAAGGGUGGUGUUAUAUUGCUUGCUCUAAGUGCACUAAAAAACUGCUAUGCACAGACUCAGCCUUGACAUGUGUGCACUGCGACAAUACACAUGCUGUUGGUGCCCUCUGAUAUCGAGUAGAGAUGGGCAUAGCUGAUGAUAGUGCUGAGGGAGUAUUCGUUUGUUUUGAUGGGGUGAUGACAAAGCUCCAUAACCUAAAAGCACAUGACGCUGGUCAUAUGUUGGCUAGGGCAGGUGUCAAUCCUGAGGAUACUCAGGUCCCCCUUUUAUUUUGGACAUGGAAGGAAAGACGUUCACCUUUCAAGUCCGGGUUAGUGCAUACAAUUUCACGGCAAAUUAUCAGACCUUCACCAUCACACACAUUCUCAACGUGCACCGCUCCCUGAUUUCGUUGAUAAUGGAGGGAACGAGAAGAAUGGGGAUGACAUGCCGAGUGACAAUACAGUUCGUGCUAAGAUUGAAACUGGGGGUAGCACCCCGAAUGGUGAAGAACCAAAGAGGCCUUCAGCUAAAGCAGCUUUCAAGAUGGUCAAGAAGGCACGUCUGGCUUAAUGCUUUGGCAUCAGAUUUACUCUCUUUCAAUAAUGAUUAGACAUCGAUGCUGUUUUAAAAAUUUAAGAUGUGGUGUCUGCUUCUGGUUUCUUAAACUUUCUGAACAAUCUGCGUUUUAUGGAAUUAAGUUUCAAAUUA